GACGUAGGGCGCGAGCGUUGUCCGGAUUUAUUGGGCGUAAAGAGCUCGUAGGCGGCUUGUUGCGUCGACUGUGAAAACCUGCGGCUCAACCGUGUGGUCUGCAGUCGAUACGGGCAGACUGGAGUACUGCAGGGGAGACUGGAAUUCCUGGUGUAGCGGUGGAAUGCGCAGAUAUCAGGAGGAACACCGGUGGCGAAGGCGGGUCUCUGGGCAGUAACUGACGCUGAGGAGCGAAAGCGUGGGGAGCGAACAGG
rnacentral:rRNA from 1 species